rnacentral:rRNA from 1 species
CGGCGGACGGGUGAGUAACGCGUGGAUAACCUGCCUUACACAGGGGGAUAACAGUUAGAAAUGACUGCUAAUACCGCACAACCCGCUAGGGCCGCAUGGCCCGGACGGAAAAGAUUUAUCGGUGUAAGAUGGAUCCGCGUCUGAUUAGCUAGUUGGCGGGGUAAAGGCCCACCAAGGCGACGAUCAGUAGCCGACCUGAGAGGGUGAUCGGCCACAUUGGGACUGAGACACGGCCCAAACUCCUACGGGAGGCAGCAG